UACGGAGGAUGCGAGCGUUAUCCGGAAUUAUUGGGCGUAAAGAGCGCGCAGGUGGUUAAUUAAGUCUGAUGUGAAAGCCCACGGCUUAACCGUGGAGGGUCAUUGGAAACUGGUUGACUUGAGUGCAGAAGAGGGAAGUGGAAUUCCAUGUGUAGCGGUGAAAUGCGUAGAGAUAUGGAGGAACACCAGUGGCGAAGGCGGCUUCCUGGUCUGCAACUGACACUGAGGCGCGAAAGCGUGGGGAGCAAACAGG
rnacentral:rRNA from 1 species